rnacentral:lncRNA from 1 species
GAGGUGGAAAAAGGUAACAUUGAUUUAUGUAUCUCUUUCUCUGGGCAUCUCUAUAUUUAUUUUGGUGGCAUUCUACUGCAUCAGCAUUUAUCAGGCACCAGUUUGGAUCCAUCCAAGGGAAAGGGGAAAUCUCACAGGGCAGAAGAAAUGUCCGGCAUUUUUUGUUUAUGAAAGAAGAUACGAAUUAACUCAUUUAAAAGUUUGUUUCUUAAAAGACAAAUACACAUCCCAAAUGUAGGAGUCUAGGGAUAAGCUAAACAGCCAAGACUGGAGCAGUCUCUCACCUUGACCAGAAGCAGUUUUCGCAAGUGAUGCUUUGAGAAGCACGUUCUCCUCUCUCAGGGCUCUGUUAAUGUUCCUGAGCGGUUCCGUCUCCUGCUCUAGCUUGAGCAGCUUCAGAUAAAGUUCUGGUAUCUGGUUUGAUGCUGCCUACCAGAAAACAUGUCAGUUUCGUCUUUUGUUGUAUCAUCUGCAUAUCCUUUGAGACUGGCAAUGUUUGCUACCAUGGGAAAAUCAAAUGGGAUGGGAGUGUGUGUAUGGUGAGCAGAGUUUAAGCCCCUCAGGGUACACAGGAGUAAAUAAAGAAAACGUUUGUUAAGGGGGAAGGAACGUCAAGCAGCCGUCCUCAGAGAUUUUCUAGCCACCUGGGAUGCCCACUUUAGUGUCCUAUGUACACACCUGGCUUAUAUCCUUCACAGUGGAAAUUUUCUUGGUGUCUACCAGGAUGUGGCCUUCACCUGUGACCAUGAGGCCCAGCUGAGAGCAGCUCAGCUCGGUGCAGCCUUCUGUAAUGGGGAGAGACACAGUCAAAGAAAGAAACAUCCCAGUCGCCCAGCUCCAGUGUCAGCUUCAUGCAGUAGGCCAGCGACUGGAGCCAGAUGUGAGCUGAGCCCAAGCGGACGACCUCGACAGGAUCCCAGAAAGGGUCGUCAUCUCGAGCCACAGGGCCGUGAUCUCCAUCUAGAAAGCGCUGGUAAAGUUCCUGCAUUAGGAAUUUCCUAUUGAUGAACUUGGCUUUUGACCAUAUCCACACCUGGAAACACAGAGCAGAGAGACACAGUGUGAAAUCGCUGCUCUCAGAUCAGCACACGGGAGAGGCCAGCAGUCAGGAGGGGGCUCACCGAGUUUGUCUGCACUCGCUCCCUCCGCAGCCGCCCUCUCCAGCUGGAAGAAGUCGUAAUCGAACCUGCUCAGGUCCUCACUGCCCCACUCCGAAGGAAACCCCACGUACAGGUGAGGUCAGAGGAGUGAAGUGACUUGCCCAAGACCACACAGUGAGUCAGGAGCAGGCCUGUCCCUCCAGCAGUGGUGCCAUGUUGUCCCCAAGCCAUGGUGGCAGAGGAGCUGGUGUGAACGCCCCAUCCUGCCACGUCUGUGAUGUGGGCACCUCACAUGACUGUCCCCUCCCAGCUCUUGGGGGGGACCUAGGACAUUCUGUGAGCCUGCAGGAAAGUUUACCAAAUGCUGCAGCUUUGUCCUGGUGGUGAUGGGCACCCCGUUAACGGCAACCUUGCAUUUGCUAUGUGGAGUGACCGUCACUUUACCGUCGGCAUUUGUGAAGGAAGCGUGUUUAUCUGAAAUUCUAAGAAGAUGAGAGUCAAAGACACCCAGCAAACGGCGGUUUCCGUGAGCAGGGUUGGAGCCCAGGAAGCAAACCAGCACUGCACCCUAGAUUUCAGCCAGAGGACGAAAGCCCUGCCCUCAGCUUUCUCAGACCAGCCCUGGAGUAGGUGGCCCGGGGAGACCUGGGCAGUGUCCCUGCUUGUCCUGCAGACUGUGUGGCUCUGCAGACCUCUAGAUGGAGGAGGCACAAUUCUCUAAUGCUGGACGAGGACACUGAUCAUGGAAACUCACCCCAAACCUUGAAUCGUGAUAGCAUUUGAGGCAGCCUGACCGGUGCCACAUGAACCUGAAAGGAAUCAAGAUAUAAUUUAUUUUGAAAAUAAAUCAGACACUUUCAGAA